CAUUUUAGGCCCCUUACUCUCUCACUCACUCUCUGGUGUCGAUCUCUCUCUCUUUCUCUCAACCCUCUCUAAACCCUAAUCUCUCAGCCGAUCGAAUCAGCCUUCUUUAGCCCCGUUUGAUCUAAUCUCAGAGCGAUUGGUGAUUCAUCUUAGAUCCAAUCUCAGAGCGAUUGGCAAUUUCGAAGCUCCACCACCUCCACUAUCUGCACCGGCGAAGGAAGCGAGGACCAUCGUCUAAUAAGGAUCAAAGUAAUGGUGUGUCGAGCUUAGCAAAUGUCAAAUGCAAGUUGUUGCAUUGGGAGGGGUCAAACUUGGUAGUUGCAAAAGGCCAAGUUGCAUCAAGGGAUCCCAAGUCAAAGGUGCUUCAUGCAACUCUUGGACCUUUGUGUUGGAAAGUAUAGGUGAACCACGUAACAGUCAACGUGCCGUUGUUUCGUUCUACUCAUGAUAUGUAUGAUCUUCAAGAUGCAAUAGGAAGUACAGUUGCAUGGCCUAGUCAAUUCAUUCUUUUGGACUAAAUAUUAGACUAAUUGAUUUACGAUUUGUAGUUAUACUUUUUGGAUGUUUAAAGUCGUAUUUUAGAGAUUAGUGAAUCUUAUGAUUUGGAUACUUUUUUUGAUUUGUAUGUUUGAGGUUGUUAUCAGCUUGAUAUGAUAGAAGUUGAGGAUA